CCAGGCGAGGCGCCGUGGUGGAACCAACCACUUGUCUCGCAACAAGCAGCCGCGGCCCGCAGCCCCUCCUCGCUCCAAGGGCCGCCGCGCUGCUCCCACCUUCACCAACCAAACCAAACCCGCCAUGGCCGAGCGCCUCGCCGCAUCCGCCGCCACCCUCCGCGCCUCGGCCGCCGCCGCCGCCACCCCGUCCGCGCGCCGCGCGGCGCGGGCCAGCCGCGCGUUCUUCCCGCCCUCGCCGGCGUCGUCGGCUCGCGCGCGCGUUGGCCUCCGCGCCGCGCCGUCUCCGCUCCCGCAGAAGGCGAGGGCAGUGAGGUGCGCGGCUGUGGCGGCGGCGUCUGACGUGGCUCAGGUGAAGGCCGCGCGCGAGGACAUCAGGGAGCUUCUCAGGACGACUCACUGCCACCCCAUCCUGGUACGUCUAGGAUGGCAUGAUGCUGGUACAUAUGACAAGAAUAUUGAGGAGUGGCCACAACGAGGUGGAGCUAAUGGAAGCUUAAGAUUUGAUGUUGAGUUGAAACAUGGAGCCAAUGCUGGUCUGAUAAAUGCUCUAAAGCUUAUCCAACCAAUUAAGGACAAGUACCCGAGUAUCACUUAUGCAGAUCUAUUUCAGUUGGCAAGUGCUACAGCAAUUGAGGAAGCUGGUGGCCCAAAGAUUCCGAUGAAAUACGGACGAGUUGAUGUUACAGGACCUGAGCAGUGCCCACCUGAAGGGAAGCUUCCUGAUGCUGGCCCAAGUUCACCUGCUGACCACUUGAGGGAGGUAUUCUACAGAAUGGGCCUUGAUGACAAGGAAAUUGUUGCCUUGUCUGGAGCACAUACACUUGGAAGGUCCAGGCCUGAACGGAGUGGCUGGGGGAAACCAGAAACAAAAUAUACUAAAAAUGGUCCUGGUGCACCUGGUGGGCAAUCAUGGACAGUUGAGUGGCUGAGAUUUGAUAACAGUUACUUCAAGGAUAUCAAAGAGAAACGAGAUCAGGAUCUUCUGGUCCUACCUACAGAUGCUGCUUUAUUUGAGGACCCAAACUUCAAGGUCUAUGCGGAGAAAUAUGCAGAGGACCAAGACGCAUUCUUCAGUGACUACGCUGAGGCUCAUGCUAAACUGAGCAAUUUGGGUGCGAAGUUCCAACCACCGCAGGUUAGUGUUAACAUUUUUGUCCUUAGUUUUCUUACAAGUACACUUUGCUCUUCAUUAAAACGGCAAUUUAAUUGGUUCUGGGAAGGAAACUGGCUGCUCAAAAAUCAUUGUUUUUUUUUCUUUUUUCUCAAACAAGUUGGGGCAACCUUAUCGUCCUUUUUAAUAUUGAUUCUGCAGGGAUUCUCUUUGGAUGAUUAGUGCAGCACCAGAGCUCCAGUCCGUGAAACAGGAAAAUGCUGUCCUUCAACAGGAUCAAGAUUCAAGAGGAAACAUACAAUUCAUUGCUCUUCUCAUAUCAUCAUCGUACAAGAUGGACCGGCUUUCCAUGAUGCUAUAUAUGAGUCUUCCAAUUUAGCAAGAUUUUGGAACCAUCGAGCUUGCAAAUAAAAGAACUGACACAGUGACACUACAUAAAUAUCAGAGCCAUUGUGACAACUGAGAAAAGAUACUGCUAUCAGAUUUGAUUUUAUCCCUUUCACGCUCUGCGCUGCUGUCAAUAUUCUACUAUUAACACCCAUGGUUGGUUC